CACGUAGGGUGCGAGCGUUGUCCGGAAUUAUUGGGCGUAAAGAGCUCGUAGGCGGUCUGUCGCGUCGAAUGUGAAAACCCGGGGCUCAACCCCGGGCCUGCAUUCGAUACGGGCAGACUAGAGUUCGGUAGGGGAGUCUGGAAUUCCUGGUGUAGCGGUGAAAUGCGCAGAUAUCAGGAGGAACACCGGUGGCGAAGGCGGGACUCUGGGCCGAUACUGACGCUGAGGAGCGAAGGCGUGGGGAGCGAACAGG
rnacentral:rRNA from 1 species